rnacentral:rRNA from 1 species
GACGAACGCUGGCGGCGUGCUUAACACAUGCAAGUCGAACGGGCCCGCCCCUGUUUUUGGGGGUGGGUUGAGUGGCGAACGGGUGAGUAUCACGUGAGUAACCUGCCCCCUGCUCCUGGAUAACUGCUUGAAAGGGCGGCUAAUACGGGGUGUGCCGGCUGGUCCGCAUGGGCCUGGUCGGGAUAGUUUCAUCUUCGGGUGUUUCGGUGGGGGAUGGGCUCGCGGCCUAUCAGCUUGUUGGUGGGGUGAUGGCCCACCAAGGCGGUGACGGGGAGCCGGCCUGAGAGGGUGGGCGGCCACACUGGGACUGAGACACGGCCCAGACUCCUGAGGGAGGCAGCAGUGGGGGGUAUUGCACAAUGGGCGGAAGCCUGAUGCAGCGACGUCGCGUGAGGGAUGGAGGCCUUCGGGUUGUGAACCUCUUUCUCCGGUGGUGAAGGCCCUGUCCGUUGCGGCGGGGUUGACGGUAGCCGGGUAUGAAGCGCCGGCUAACUACGUG